rnacentral:rRNA from 1 species
UACAGAGGUCUCAAGCGUUGUUCGGAUUCAUUGGGCGUAAAGGGUGCGUAGGCGGCGCGGUAAGUCGGGUGUGAAAUCUUGGAGCUUAACUCCGAAACUGCAUUCGAUACUGCCGUGCUUGAGGACUUGGAGAGGAGACUGGAAUUUACGGUGUAGCGGUGAAAUGCGUAGAUAUCGUAAGGAAGACCAGUGGCGAAGGCGGGUCUCUGGACAGUUCCUGACGCUGAGGCACGAAGGCCAGGGGAGCAAACGGG